GACGAACGCUGGCGGCGUGCUUAACACAUGCAAGUCGAACGGAAAGGCCCUUCGGGGUACUCGAGUGGCGAACGGGUGAGUAACACGUGGGUGAUCUGCCCUGCACUUUGGGAUAAGCCUGGGAAACUGGGUCUAAUACCGAAUAGGACCACGCUCUUCAUGGGGUGUGGUGGAAAGCUUUUGCGGUGUGGGAUGGGCCCGCGGCCUAUCAGCUUGUUGGUGGGGUAAUGGCCUACCAAGGCGACGACGGGUAGCCGGCCUGAGAGGGUGACCGGCCACACUGGGACUGAGAUACGGCCCAGACUCCUACGGGAGGCAGCAGUGGGAAAUAUUGCACAAUGGGCGCAAGCCUGAUGCAGCGACGCCGCGUGAGGGAUGACGGCCUUCGGGUUGUAAACCUCUUUCAGUACCGACGAAGCGCAAGUGACGGUAGGUACAGAAGAAGGACCGGCCAACUACGUGCCAGCAGCCGCCGUAAUAC
rnacentral:rRNA from 1 species